rnacentral:rRNA from 1 species
GACGAACGCUGGCGGCGUGCUUAACACAUGCAAGUCGAACGGAAAGGCCCUGCUUUUGUGGGGUGCUCGAGUGGCGAACGGGUGAGUAACACGUGAGUAACCUGCCCUUGACUUUGGGAUAACUUCAGGAAACUGGGGCUAAUACCGGAUAGGAGCUCCUGCUGCAUGGUGGGGGUUGGAAAGUUUCGGCGGUUGGGGAUGGACUCGCGGCUUAUCAGCUUGUUGGUGGGGUAGUGGCUUACCAAGGCUUUGACGGGUAGCCGGCCUGAGAGGGUGACCGGCCACAUUGGGACUGAGAGACGGCCCAGACUCCUACGGGAGGCAGCAGUGGGGAAUAGUGCACAAUGGGCGGAAGCCUGAUGCAGCAACGCCGCGUGCGGGAUGACGGCCUUCGGGUUGUAAACCGCUUUCGCCUGUGACGAAGCGUGAGUGACGGUAAUGGGUAAAGAAGCACCGGCUAACUACGUG